GGGGAAUUUUGGACAAUGGGCGCAAGCCUGAUCCAGCAAUGCCGCGUGAGUGAAGAAGGCCUUCGGGUUGUAAAGCUCUUUCAGUCGAGAAGAAAAGGUUGUGACUAAUAAUUGCAACUUAUGACGGUAUCGACAGAAGAAGCACCGGCUAACUACGUGCCAGCAGCCGCGGUAAUACGUAGGGUGCGAGCGUUAAUCGGAAUUACUGGGCGUAAAGGGUGCGCAGGCGGUUCUGUAAGUCAGAUGUGAAAUCCCCGGGCUUAACCUGGGAACUGCGUUUGAAACUACAGAGCUAGAGUGUGGCAGAGGGGGGUGGAAUUCCAUGUGUAGCAGUGAAAUGCGUAGAGAUAUGGAAGAACAUCGAUGGCGAAGGCAGCCCCCUGGGUUAACACUGACGCUCAUGCACGAAAGCGUGGGGAGCAAAC
rnacentral:rRNA from 1 species